rnacentral:rRNA from 1 species
AAUAGAUACCCGGGUAGUCCACGCCGUAAACGAUGUCGACUUGGAGGUUGUUCCCUUGAGGAGUGGCUUCCGGAGCUAACGCGUUAAGUCGACCGCCUGGGGAGUACGGCCGCAAGGUUAAAACUCAAAUGAAUUGACGGGGGCCCGCACAAGCGGUGGAGCAUGUGGUUUAAUUCGAUGCAACGCGAAGAACCUUACCUGGUCUUGACAUCCACAGAAUUCUGCAGAGAUGCGGAAGUGCCUUCGGGAACUGUGAGACAGGUGCUGCAUGGCUGUCGUCAGCUCGUGUUGUGAAAUGUUGGGUUAAGUCCCGCAACGAGCGCAACCCUUAUCCUUUGUUGCCAGCGGUUAGGCCGGGAACUCAAAGGAGACUGCCAGUGAUAAACUGGAGGAAGGUGGGGAUGACGUCAAGUCAUCAUGGCCCUUACGACCAGGGCUACACACGUGCUACAAUGGCAUAUACAAAGAGAAGCGACCUCGCGAGAGCAAGCGGACCUCAUAAAGUAUGUCGUAGUCCGGAUCGGAGU